AACGAACGCUGGCGGCAUGCCCAACACAUGCAAGUCGAACGAGACCUUCGGGUCUAGUGGCGCACGGGUGCGUAACGCGUGGGAACCUGCCCUUAGGUUCGGAAUAACUCCCCGAAAGGGGUGCUAAUACCGGAUAAUGUCUUCGGACCAAAGAUUUAUCGCCUUUGGAUGGGCCCGCGUUGGAUUAGCUAGUUGGUAGGGUAAAAGCCUACCAAGGCGACGAUCCAUAGCUGGUCUGAGAGGAUGAUCAGCCACACUGGGACUGAGACACGGCCCAGACUCCUACGGGAGGCAGCAGUGGGGAAUAUUGGACAAUGAGCGAAAGCCUGAUCCAGCAAUGCCGCGUGAGUGAUGAAGGCCUUAGGGUUGUAAAGCUCUUUUACCCGGGAUGAUAAUGACAGUACCGGGAGAAUAAGCUCCGGCUAACUCCGUG
rnacentral:rRNA from 1 species